rnacentral:lncRNA from 1 species
UGCCUGUACCUCACUAUGGUCCAAGCUGUCAUUGUCAAUUCCCAGACCCCUCUUUGGACAAAACAUCAACCACAGACUAUAUGACAAGUUAUUAUAUAUUUAUUCCUCUUUUGGAUCUUACAUUUUCUGAUGAGCUCCACAUAUUUCCAUUGUAUCACAGCACUCUCUGUUCUCUUUGUGAUGUAAUCUUUCAGAGUGUCAUGUGUUGAGCAGUCAGUCAAUAGUUCUCUUCCUGUAUAGACUUCCCAGGUGUGUCCUCUACCUUCACAACUAUACAUUAGCAAAGAGUUCCAGCUCAGAAAUCAAUAGUGCUCCCAUUAUUGUGACCAUGUUUUUUAUCUAUUAUUGAACAGAUUUUAUUUUAGCCUUUUAUAUAU